ACCCCUUCCUCCUUGGUUUCUGUCAGUCACUUCCCCCUCCCCCUCUCCGCCCCAGUCUCUCUUGGUCUCUGUCUUCUCCUCUUCCUGCCCCAAGCUAGGGUUCGUGGAGUUUCUUGCUAGAUCUGCUCCCUCUGCGAAUACUUCUUCUUUUGCUUUUUGUUUUUGCUGGAUCUGCUCCCUCUGCGAAUACUACUUCUUUUGCUUUUUGUUUCUGCUAGAUCUGCUCAUUUUCACUUUGUUUGUGCUUACUAAGGUGCUUCUCUAUGGUUCACUAUGGUGUUUGCAGGAUUUACCAAUCGGGGGAGUUUCGUUGAUGACGGAUUGCCGUUGCUCCAUCUCCUCUUUUUCAGGUAUUCUUCCUUAUUGAAUCUUAUUAUUGUAUUGUUUCUUGUACUAGUUAGAGGAGUCCUGUUAGUUUUUUUGUUUUUUAUGCUUUACUUAGGGUUUUCUUGUUUUUUGUGUUUGAUGUGCAGUGAUUUGUUUUACUGUUUGGUUUUAGGGUUUGAACAGGUUGAUUCAGUGAGUCUUGUAUGUCUCUAAAGAUUCAAUCCUUUUUGUGCAUAUUGUUAUUCUGAUGCGGAUUCUAGGUCAUCUGCUUUCUAAUAAAUCUGCUUUCUAAUAAACCUUUUAGGUUUGAUUCUAUUUACUUUAUGCCUAUUUUAUGUUUGAUAGUCAGUUUAUUAUGUUUUAUGUUAUAUUAAGUGUGUGUCUGGUCACUAUUGAGUCCAAUUGAUGUUUUUAGGUGUAUUGCAUUUUUCGUAUAUGUCCAUGGUGUUGAUACACUUUUGCUUUUUUGAGGUAUCUGUGCAAGUUUAGAUACAUAGAGAUGCAAUUUGUUCAGAUUUAGUCAAGAUUAUGGAGGUUCUUUAUGUAAUUUAUCUUCUUUUAAGUUACCCAUCUAGACUAGGAAUUCAUUUCUUUGAGAUAGUUAGAUUGUAAGCUUUUAUAUUUUUAUAGUUAAUGUAGGUUGUUCAACUUGUUUUAUGCCCUGCUGGGUAAUUACAUAAAAAAAUCCUUUUUAUUUACCAUGUGUUUCUUUUUUAUUGUGU
rnacentral:lncRNA from 1 species